GGCUCAGGAUGAACGCUGGCGGUAUGCUUAACACAUGCAAGUCGAACGGAAUGCUUAGGCAUUUAGUGGCGGACGGGUGAGUAACGCGUGAGAAUUUGGCUUCAGGUCGGGGACAACAGUUGGAAACGACUGCUAAUACCGGAUAUGCCGGAAGGUGAAAGAUUUAUUGCCUGAAGAUAAGCUCGCGUCUGAUUAGCUAGUUGGUGGGGUAAGAGCCUACCAAGGCGACGAUCAGUAGCUGGUCUGAGAGGAUGAUCAGCCACACUGGGACUGAGACACGGCCCAGACUCCUACGGGAGGCAGCAGUGGGGAAUUUUCCGCAAUGGGCGAAAGCCUGACGGAGCAAUACCGCGUGAGGGAGGAAGGCUCUUGGGUCGUAAACCUCUUUUCUCAGGGAAGAAAAAAAUGACGGUACCUGAGGAAUAAGCAUCGGCUAACUCCGUGCCAGCAGCCGCGGUAAUACGGAGGAUGCAAGCGUUAUCCGGAAUGAUUGGGCGUAAAGGGUCUGUAGGUGGUGCUGUAAGUCUGCUGUUAAAGAGUCACGCUCAACGUGAUAAAAGCGGUGGAAACUACAGGACUAGAGUGCGGUCGGGGCAGAAGGAAUUCCUGGUGUAGCGGUGAAAUGCGUAGAUAUCAGGAAGAACACCGGUGGCGAAAGCGUUCUGCUAGUCCGCAACUGACACUGAGGGACGAAAGCUAGGGGAGCGAAUGGGAUUAGAUACCCCAGUAGUCCUAGCCGUAAACGAUGGAUACUAGGCGUGGCUUGUAUCGACCCGAGCCGUGCCGGAGCUAACGCGUUAAGUAUCCCGCC
rnacentral:rRNA from 1 species